AUUUCUCUGAGAAAAAAUCCGUCUCUUUUCUCUCUGCCAUGAUAGAGGGUUUUGGCUUCUUCUCUUUUCUUAGCAAAAUUUGACUCCCAUAUCUUAUAAUCAUAAAUUUGUAUGUCCAUUCUAAGGAAAUUCUCGCAAACUCAAAGCAAUUUGACUGAAGAAUUCAAAAUUCAUUUGCCAUUUACAAUGAAGUUGACAAAGGUAAAAAGGGUUCUCUUUUUCAUCUCUUCACAAUAUCGGCAACCGAAUCCCUGCUCCUUCUGCCCAUAUCGUCCUUUGCUUCCUGUUGCACGCCAUUUCAAAUGGUUCUUUAGCCGUUUGAAACCCUAAUCCUUCAAGAAUCCCGUCCAAAUUAACCCUAGAAAAGCCCUAGUAAUUCUUCUAUAAAUACCGAGGUUUGGUAAUAAUUUCGGACAACUUUGGAGCCACCGCAUCUCUGCCUCUUUAAACAAAUUUAUUCUUCAAAAUACUCUAAAAGUCUUAGUCGUGUAGCCUCUGCUGCUCUUCGCUACAACAGAGGAUUUUUUCUUUUCACUUUUCGGAGCUUGUAAAAUCCGUGGUUGUAAGCUCGAGUUCAAGUUCGAAGCCAGAGUCCAGUAGAUCUGCUUGACGAGCCCCAGUUCCUGCACCACAAAAGGUCAGUAACUUCUCAUCUCUUCUUCCUUUUUUUCUUCUUCUCAUAUCCGAAGUAAAUGUAUAUUUCUUCUUAAGAGUGAGUUAUAGUUUGUUUCAUGUGUAGAAAGCAUGCUCUAAGGUAUUAUUUGAGUGUAAAAAUGACUGAUUAUGUGCCUUUGUUGUGUGUGAACAAAAUAAGAGAGGAUUAAAAUACCAGAAAUUGUCCCAUGUUUGUUUCUUAAAAUGAUAAACUUAGAAUGUUUUCCAGCAUAUCCAAAGCUAGUUUGAAGCAACUUAAUAUAGUGAUUUAUUGGCUAACUGGAUGAUUUGCAAAGAAAAUAAUCUGUUAACACUCCAUGAAGUGCAGUGUUAAUAGAAUAUUUUAACACUAGCUCAAAAACUAGUACUACUAUUUCCUUUCACUGUUAAUAGAUAGUAUGCCAUUAGAAUAUUUUAAUAGCUAGUUUUAAGACUUCAAGACAAAGUAGCAAAGCAUGUGUUUGUGUGUUAAUGUGUAUUAAUGAUCCUAAAAGUCUACUGCCAUUUCGUCAUUUUACUAGGAAGCAUGUGGCUAGAAUUUUAAUAUCUAACUUUAAGACUUAAGACGGAAGUGGAAACCAUGUUGUUCUAAGUAUUAAGAAUCAUGUUGGCUAGAUUAAUCUGUUUCCCCUUUAGAUUUCAAAUGAACAAGGAAAGUUAAUAUGCUAGACUUAAUAUUUAGAUUAGAGGACAUACCUAAACUUAGAGACUAAUGAAUCUGUUUGUAUAAGAUUGCUGAAGUAUUUUUAAAAUAUUUGUUUUAUGUGAGUUAAUAAUCCUGUUGUAGGUUUAGAAUCCUUCAAGUUUACUGCUUUUCUAUCUCAAUUUAUUGCCAAUAUCUUUAUUUCUAAUUCUUGUCUUUUCUUUUCCUUUGUUUGCAUAUGCACUUGAAGUAAUAUGAGUCUUAAUGCAAGACUCACCCCCGAUCAUGGAGUCAUCAUCGUAUCUUAGGCUAAAGGACAAGAAGAAAACAAGCAAAACUUACUUGAGGUCGUCUAUGGCGGCUUUCAUUAAUCUUUACUCAUUUUAUCUGAAUUUGGUUAGUUCUUGUGAUUUGGUUCUAUUUGAGUUUUUUUUUUAUGAUUGAUGAUUAAUUUUAUCAUGUAGACUUACAACUUUAAUUUUGGUGGAAUACCUCGUUAAUUAAG
rnacentral:lncRNA from 1 species